rnacentral:misc_RNA from 1 species
GUAUUUAUUAUAAUAUAUUUAUAUUUCAGUCAAAAUUAUUUUAGACAUGUUUAAACAAAUAAAAUUGGCAGGCCGAGAGAGCCUAACCUGCCAACAAACACUUCACUGAUUCACACAAGGUGGAUAUGGAUAAAAUUAUCCAUUAAAGUGGACAAUUGUUAAUGAUCCUUCCGCAGGUUCACCUACGGAAA